ACGUGCGGGUACAGUAGGCGGGUCGUCAUCACCCGUACGGGGGGAAGCCGGUGCAAUUCCGGCGCUGACCCGCAACCGUGAACCGCCACCCAGGCGGUGAGCCGGAUCGCCGCGUACGGUUCGUGACCG
rnacentral:ncRNA from 2 species